UACGAAGGGUGCAAGCGUUAAUCGGAAUCAUUGGGCGUAAAGCGCACGUAGGCGGUUCGUUAUGUCGGAUGUGAAAGCCCUUGGCUUAACCGAGGAAGUGCAUCCGAAACUGGCGAGCUAGAGUACGAAAGAGGAUCGCGGAAUUCCCGGUGUAGAGGUGAAAUUCGUAGAUAUCGGGAGGAACACCGGUGGCGAAGGCGGCGAUCUGGGUCGAUACUGACGCUGAGGUGCGAAAGCGUGGGGAGCAACAGG
rnacentral:rRNA from 1 species